ACAACUGGUAAUUACUUGGGGAAUUGAGGCCCGGUCCAGGCGAUCACAUGUAACAAUACACACCUAUACAAAGACGGGUUUCAAAACAACGCUGGGAAAAGAGCAUCCGCCACUCGUUUGGAGGACGUCCCGUAAUUUUCAUUCCUCCCCAAGAUGCCAAACUGUCCGAAAUGCGAGAAGCCGGUGUAUUUUGCGGAGCGAUUCCAUUCCCUGGGGAAGGACUGGCACCGGGCCUGCCUGCGGUGUGAGAAGUGCAAUAAAGUACUACAGCAGGGAAGACAUGCGGAGCAUGACGGAAAGCCAUACUGUGAGAAGCCAUGUUAUCGAGAUCUGUUCGGCCCUGGAGGGAAGAUUUAGAAGAUGAUGACCUCACAGUGACGCCACGACAACCGAAACGACCUCGAGCUUCAAUUAAACAAACCCAAGACCAACGUUCGACUUCAUCGCCGUUACUAAUCUGACUUGAUAGAUAUUUAUCGUUGGCUUUAUCUUGCCAAUUAAAAAUGGGAUUAUAUCAUAGGAACUUCAGUGCGGCAGCUUUGAUUUCUUUCGUGUAUUGUUUCAAUAUUUAUUGAGGGUGUCAUCACGAGCUGUCUUUUUCCCAGCGUGACUUGCAACACAGAUUGACUUGUAGCGAAUGUUUAGAACAUUUUGCACCACUCCCACUCAGCGGAUGUGAACAAAACUGCAGCAGACAGGAGCAGAAACCUUUCCUAUUAAAGCAUGAACAUACAGGCUACGUCUUUAUCAACUAGGCCUCUGCAUUUAUGUAAAAUUGUCCGAGAGGACAUUACCUACAAUCCUUUAUACUGUUAGUGAUUUGAUUUGUAUGAUGUUCAACAUAGUGACGAUAAAUGUAUAGUUCGUUUGUAUGACACAGGAAAUUUCCAUGGAAUCGUAAUGAUAUUCCCGAACAGCUUCCUGAUCAGGACAUGCAGUUGUUCCCGCAUUUUAAUAGCCUAUACCAAUGUAUGAAUCGCAUGCGCAGCAUAUGUUUGAGGUUGAUGUAGUCAACAUUGUAAGAAACAAUGAAAAGUUUUUAUGGAUUUCUAGGGAGAGGUUUUUAUAGCUAAUUUAAGACUUUGUUUACAACUUUAUUUCACUUAUUCCAGAUUGAUGUAGAUGUAACAAGGGAAGGGGGAAAUGUAGUAAAAGAGAUGAAAAAGGAUUCAAAGUAGCCUAAUAUCUUGUUUGAAAAUGAAAUGAUUUAUGGUGCAAACAAGACAGCGUUCAAUGUAGCGUUAGCCAAACGCUGAAAAGAACGAAUAACAAACGUGUUGUGUCUUGUCCAGUGACGUAAGUACUGAUACAUGUAACCUUGGUACGUCAUAUUUUCGAACAAAUAGCAAUCUACAUAAGAGACAAAUCAUUUCUUCGAAGAAACCUUUUAUCUAGUGACUUACCAACCUGAUGAAACUAUUGACGGAGUGGAUUGAUUUUUCUUGAUGUCAAAAAUGUAUUGAUCUUAACGAAUGAAUGACCUUUUCUGUCCCACCUUUAUUCUAUAGCACUAGCUACAGUGGUUAUUCCGUGGUUCUGUCCAAUCGUAUUUGUAGUAUUAUACGUGGACUUCUGUCGUGUGUUGUAUGGAACAUAACUGCCAUAAGAAACAAACGUGUCAAUGGGCACAGCCCCGCCAUGUUGAUUAAGACUGACCAAAUAAAGACAUCCUAGAAUGA